rnacentral:lncRNA from 1 species
UGUCGUCGAGAAUCAAAGAGUCGAUGGUGAUACAAGGAACACGAUUUAGAUAGGUUUGGGCCGCUAGAUCGUGUAAUACCCUAUGUCCUUUGUGUUGAUUGUAUUGAACUUCUUAGCUGUUUUCUUGAGGGGGGGGGGGUAUCCCUGCCCACCCUUAUUUAGUCGGGGGAGCAGGGUUACAGGGUAGAGUCCUAAUCGAACAUGGUUUUAGAGUUCUACUCCAAAUCAGUAGAGUAGUUUCCUUGAGUUAUCCGACUAGUCUUCAAGAGUCCGUGUAGGCUACGCUUGUCGGUGUUUUAUACUGGCAACCUACCAAGGGGGUACUCGAGGUAGUCGAUUAGUCGGUUGGGGGAUCACCAGACCUGGAACCCGAAGGUAAAAGCGAGGGCACAAGACACGGAUUUAUACAGGUUUGGGCCGCCAGAGUAGCGUAAUACCCUACAUCCUAUUUUGGGGUGUUGUAUAUUGCGCCUUGCGCUUCGGUGUUGAGCUUAGGUGAGCUGCUGAUCUAGGUACCCUCGCCCUCCUUUAUAUACUCCAGGGGGCAGGAGUCCUAGUCGGAUUACAAGGAGGAGUCCUAGUAGGAGUACACGGUAUGAGUCCUAGUCGGAUUAUAGGGGAGUCCUAGUUGGAGUCCAACUUCUUGCUUCCUUGCGGGUAUUGGGGAUCUAUCCCCGAUGAGCCCCUGAGCGCUUCAUAGUUGAAUGCAGCAGUCUUCGAGUACUUUUAAGUUAUUCGCCGAGUAGUCUUGGUGUUCCUCGAGUACUUUAUCUGGUGGAAUCUUCAAAGCUUCUCAAAGCUGCUAUGAGGCUAUGG